AUUGAACGCUGGCGGCAGGCCUAACACAUGCAAGUCGAACGGUAACAGGAAGCAGCUUGCUGCUUUGCUGACGAGUGGCGGACGGGUGAGUAAUGUCUGGGAAACUGCCUGAUGGAGGGGGAUAACUACUGGAAACGGUAGCUAAUACCGCAUAACGUCGCAAGACCAAAGAGGGGGACCUUCGGGCCUCUUGCCAUCGGAUGUGCCCAGAUGGGAUUAGCUAGUAGGUGGGGUAACGGCUCACCUAGGCGACGAUCCCUAGUUGGUCUGAGAGGAUGACCAGCCACACUGGAACUGAGACACGGUCCAGACUCCUACGGGAGGCAGCAGUGGGGAAUAUUGCACAAUGGGCGCAAGCCUGAUGCAGCCAUGCCGCGUGUAUGAAGAAGGCCUUCGGGUUGUAAAGUACUUUCAGCGGGGAGGAAGGGAGUAAAGUUAAUACCUUUGCUCAUUGACGUUACCCGCAGAAGAAGCACCGGCUAACUCCGUG
rnacentral:rRNA from 1 species